rnacentral:rRNA from 1 species
UACAGGGGGGGGCAAGGCGUUGUUCGGAAUUACUGGGCGUAAAGGGCUCGUAGGCGGCCAACUAAGUCAGACGUGAAAUCCCUCGGCUUAACCGGGGAACUGCAUCUGAUACUGGAUGGCUCGAGUUUGGGAGAGGGAUGCGGAAUUCCAGGUGUAGCGGUGAAAUGCGUAGAUAUCUGGAGGAACACCGGUGGCGAAGGCGGGUCU